GAAAGAUCAAGAUAUACUCGAUGAUAUUCCUCCUUUACAAAUAAACAAGAUGAUCACACAACACAAUUGAAACAAGAAAUUACCCCAUGUACAAUCAAGCAAUCAAAAUCCAAGCAUCAGAAAACGCAACCAGUUCAAACAAGGAACAGUGGCAUCACAGCAAACUCGACUGAUCAACUUUAGCUCGAAAUUCUGUCUUUCUGGUGCAAGAAGUUCCUUCCUCUGCCUUUUUAGUUCCCUGAAUGAAAAAGCAACACAAAGUGAAGCUCUUGUUAACAUUUGAAUGGUACAUUUAUGCUUAGUGUCAUUGACAUAUAUGACAAAUCUGAAAGUUAAUUGGUAUAUCACCUGUCAUCAGUUUUACUUCUU
rnacentral:misc_RNA from 1 species